GACUCAUAUUCUAUAGCAGUGGUUCCUGAAGUUUAACAUACAUCAUUUCUUUGUUCCUUCUCCACUCCCACUGCUUCACUUAACUAGUCUACA
ensembl:misc_RNA Y_RNA Y RNA